GGCGGCGUAGCUCAGUUGGCUAGAGCAAGCGGUUCAUACCCGCUGUGUCCGCGGUUCAAAUCCGUGCGCCGCCACCA
rnacentral:tRNA from 1 species